GCGGAUUCUUCCUGGGGCUUGGCCUGCUUGGAACGACCGCCCUUGCUGCCGAUACGCGACAUAUGGUCACGAUCACGACUCACGGCCUGGCCACCCUUUCGGCCUGCUUC
rnacentral:sRNA from 1 species